GUUCUGAAUAUUUUUAACGUACAUUUUAAGAUGAAGGAGCUCAGCCAGAGUAUGACUUACCUACUGUUAUAGUUGUCUGAAGAGCACACGGAUCACGAGGUCAAGAGAUCGAGACCAUCCUGGCCAACUUGGUGAAUCCCUGUCUCUACUAAAAGUACAAAAAUUAGCCGGGGUGGUGGUGGGCGCCUGUAAUCCCAGCUACUCAGGAGGCUGAGGUAGGAGAAUCGCUUGAACCCGGGAGGCAGAGGUUGGAGUGAGCUGAGAUCGCACCAGCGUACUCCAGCCUGGCGACAGAACGAGACUCUGUCUCAAAAAAAAAAAAAAAAAAAAAAAAAAAAGAAAGAGGUGACUGAUACAGAGUACAUGAUGAUGCAAUAUUAAUUACAAUAUUAUGUUCUCAGUGAAGUUUUCUCUGGCCAAUGACAUCCUCCCUGACCAUCUUCUGUAAUAAUAUAACCACACUGUUAAUCCCUUCCCUUACUAACCUGUAUCAUCAGACGACAUUAUACAUUUUCCUUCGUAACUCCUAUUUCCUCUGAGUGGAUAGUAAGCUCCAUGAAAGCAAACA
rnacentral:lncRNA from 1 species